AGUGAACGCUGGCGGUAGGCCUAACACAUGCAAGUCGAACGGCAGCACGGUAAGAGCUUGCUCUUACGGGUGGCGAGUGGCGGACGGGUGAGGAAUACAUCGGAAUCUACUUUUUCGUGGGGGAUAACGUAGGGAAACUUACGCUAAUACCGCAUACGACCUACGGGUGAAAGCAGGGGAUCUUCGGACCUUGCGCGAUUGAAUGAGCCGAUGUCGGAUUAGCUAGUUGGCGGGGUAAAGGCCCACCAAGGCGACGAUCCGUAGCUGGUCUGAGAGGAUGAUCAGCCACCCUGGAACUGAGACACGGUCCAGACUCCUACGGGAGGCAGCAGUGGGGAAUAUUGGACAAUGGGCGCAAGCCUGAUCCAGCCAUACCGCGUGGGUGAAGAAGGCCUUCGGAUUGUAAAGCCCUUUUGUUGGGAAAGAAAAGCAGCAGGUUAAUACCCCGCUGUUCUGACGGUACCCAAAGAAUAAGCACCGGCUAACUUCGUG
rnacentral:rRNA from 1 species